rnacentral:lncRNA from 1 species
AAGGGCUUAUUGAAAGCUCAACCCAUGUAACUUAUAUUUCACCUAUUUGUUCUUCCUGACCAAUUCCUCAGGAAUCGAUGUCAGUGUCUGACCAUUUUACAGCUCCAUGCAUGCAAGGUCUUGCUGGCAUUGAGUGCUAAAUGUGCUACGACUUUUCCGUUGUUGAUGAUCGAAACUCUUGAGAGCUUCUCGUUAGUUAUAAAAA